rnacentral:rRNA from 1 species
GAUGAACGCUGGCGGCGUGCCUAAUACAUGCAAGUCGAGCGAACAGACGAGGAGCUUGCUCCUCUGACGUUAGCGGCGGACGGGUGAGUAACACGUGGAUAACCUACCUAUAAGACUGGGAUAACUUCGGGAAACCGGAGCUAAUACCGGAUAAUAUAUUGGACCGCAUGGUUCAAUAGUGAAAGACGGUUUUGCUGUCACUUAUCGAUGGAUCCGCGCCGCAUUAGCUAGUUGGUAAGGUAACGGCUUACCAAGGCAACGAUGCGUAGCCGACCUGAGAGGGUGAUCGGCCACACUGGAACUGAGACACGGUCCAGACUCCUACGGGAGGCAGCAGUAGGGAAUCUUCCGCAAUGGGCGAAAGCUUGACGGAGCAACGCCGCGUGAGUGAUGAAGGGCUUCGGAUCGUAAAACUCUGUUAUUAGGGAAGAACAAAUGUGUAAGUAACGAUGCACGUCUUGACGGUACCUAAUCAGAAAGCCACGGCUAACUACGUGC